UUCUAAUCAAAUGUGGUUUGCUGACAUGUGCUUUUGUUUUUUUAUUCCUCGUUUUUGGUUGAUGGCCUGUUCUCGUUCUUGGGCUUCACUUCUCAUUUUGUCCCAAAUGCGCAUUGGUGUUUUCAUUCUCUCAUUCUUUUAUUUUUCUCUUUUUUUUAUGGUUUUUGACUUGACUCUAGUAAAUUAUUAGUCCUGUAGAAGUGCUGCCCAG
rnacentral:lncRNA from 1 species